AGUAGAAUUGCUGGGUCAUAUGGUAGUUCUAGUUUAAGUUUUUUGAGGAACUAUCACACUGUUUUCCACAAUAGCUGUACCAUUUUGCAUUCCCACCAGCAAU
rnacentral:pre_miRNA from 1 species